rnacentral:rRNA from 1 species
AGAGUUUGAUCCUGGCUCAGGACGAACGCUGGCGGUGUGCCUCACACAUGCAAGUCGAACGGGGUAGCAAUACCCAGUGGCGGACGGGUGAGUAACACGUGGGAAUCUGCCUUAGGGUGGGGGAUAGCAGACCGAAAGGUCUAUUAAUACCGCAUAUGUGUGUGCUUCGACAGUUGCACACAUAAAAAGGAGCAAUCCGC